CCUACGGGGGGCAGCAGUGGGGAAUAUUGCACAAUGGGGGGAACCCUGAUGCAGCAACGCCGCGUGGGUGAAGAAGUACUCCGGUAUGUAAAGCCCUUUCAGCAGGGAAGAAAAUGACGGUACCUGACCAAGAAGCCACGGCUAACUACGUACCAGCAGCCGCGGUAAUACGGAGGGGGCAAGCGUUAUCCGGAGUUACUGGGUGUAACGGGAGCGUAGACGGCAAGGCAAGUCUGAAGUGAAAGCCACGGGCCCAACCACGGGACUGCUUUGGAAACUGGGUGGCUGGAGUGCAGGAGGGGUAGGCAGAAUUCCUGGUGUAGCGGUGAAAUGCGUAGAUAUUAGGAGGAACACCGGUGGCGAAGGCGGCUUACUGGACUGUAACUGACGUUGAGGCUCGAAGGCGUGGGGAGCAAACAGGAUUAGAUACCCCUGUAGUC
rnacentral:rRNA from 1 species